rnacentral:rRNA from 1 species
UAGGGAAUCUUCGGCAAUGGGGGGAACCCUGACCGAGCAACGCCGCGUGCGUGAAGAAGGUUUUCGGAUCGUAAAGCUCUGUUGUUAAGGAAGAACGAGUGUGAGAAUGGAAAGUUCAUACUGUGACGGUACUUAACCAGAAAGGGACGGCUAACUACGUGCCAGCAGCCGCGGUAAUACGUAGGUCCCGAGCGUUGUCCGGAUUUAUUGGGCGUAAAGCGAGCGCAGGCGGUUAGAUAAGUCUGAAGUUAAAGGCAGUGGCUCAACCAUUGUAGGCUUUGGAAACUGUUUAGCUUGAGUGCGGGAGGGGAGAGUGUAAUUCCAUGUGUGGCGGUGAAAUGCGUAGAUAUAUGGAGGAACGCCGGUGGCGAAAGCGGCUCUCUGGUCUGUAACUGACGCGGAGGCUCGAAAGCGUGGGGAGCGAACAGG